GACGAACUGUGCGAACGUUGUUCGGAAUCACUGGGCUUAAAGGCGCGUAGGCGGCAGAUCAAGUCCGGGGUGAAAUCCUCCAGCUCAACUGGAGAAGUGCCUUGGAUACUGAUGUGCUCGAGGGAGGUAGGGGCCCGCGGAACUUCUGGUGGAGCGGUGAAAUGCGUUGAUAUCAGAAGGAACGCCGGUGGCGAAGGCGGGUCUCUGGGCCGAUACUGACGCUGAGGAGCGAAAGCGUGGGGAGCGAACAGG
rnacentral:rRNA from 1 species